GGACUUUUAUGGAGAGAUUCAAAUUAUGGCUCAGACGCUGUUUCCACCACUUUUUAUAGCUAAAGACACUAAGGUGGCACAGUCUGCCCAUUGACUUGACUGUUUUAUGUGGUGAGCAGUAUCUUAUGGCAGCCUUAACUCAG